UACGUAGGGUGCAAGCGUUAAUCGGAAUUACUGGGCGUAAAGCGUGCGCAGGCGGUUUUGUAAGUCUGAUGUGAAAUCCCCGGGCUCAACCUGGGAAUUGCAUUGGAGACUGCAAGGCUAGAAUCUGGCAGAGGGGGGUAGAAUUCCACGUGUAGCAGUGAAAUGCGUAGAGAUGUGGAGGAACACCGAUGGCGAAGGCAGCCCCCUGGGUCAAGAUUGACGCUCAUGCACGAAAGCGUGGGGAGCAAAUAGG
rnacentral:rRNA from 1 species